rnacentral:misc_RNA from 1 species
GUCAAUUACUUCGUUGAUAUGCCAAAGGAAAUGUGUAAACAAGGUAUACCAGAAAAGAAGUUGCAGCUUUUGUCAAAUGUGAGUGGAGUAUUUUCACCAGGCACUGCAUUGGUUGGGUCAAGUGGAGCAGGAAAAACUACUCUGAUGGACGUGCUUGCUGGCCGGAAAACUGGGGGAUAUAUAGAAGGGGAUAUUAAGAUAUCAGGUUACCCUAAAGAGCAGCGCACAUUUGCUAGAAUUUCAGGAUAUGUUGAACAAAAUGAUAUACAUUCUCCUCAGGUUACU